UCGAGUUUUUCGACUUUGAGCAGGCGAUUAAAAUUUCGAGUGAGAGUAAACAUUCGGAAUUUUCGUUAAAAAUGAGUUCAUCGAAGCCAAGGAACAGAUCACGGUCUCCAAUAAGAAAAUCUAAUGAACGUCCACAUCAUUCGGGUUCCUCAGAUAAAAAAGAGCGGCGAAAUAGCAAGGACCAAGGCAAUAAGACACUCGAUGAAAAGACACCUAAUGCAGAAACUAAAUCAAAGGUUCAGGCGAAGUCCGACAAGAAGGACAGCCUGAUUGAAACCAAUAACAAUUCUGCAUCGAAAAUGAACCACAAUUCAGUUCAAAAAAACUCUUUCGUUUAUAAUACUAGUAGCAGGACGUAUGUGAAUCCUGUGACGGGAAAAACGGAGCGAAAAUUUUCAAACAGAUGUCGUUUGUUUGUGGGAAAUAUCAUGGAUAUGAGUGAAGAAGAAUUCACAAAGAUGUUCGAGAAAUAUGGAGAAUACUCAGAAGCGUAUGUGAACAAAGAUAAGGCUUUUGGUUUUAUCAAAAUGGACACAAGAAUGGCAGCAGAAGCUGCUAAAAAUGCUUUAGAUGGCUCUGUGCGUAAAGGACGAAAUCUAACUGUGCGAUUUGCUACCUUAUCUACUGCUAUUCAUGUUUCUAACCUUGGCCCUCUGGUCUCCAAUGAGAUGUUGCAAAAGGCGUUUUCUGCCUUUGGUGAUGUGGAAAGAGCUGUUGUUGUUGUUGAUGAUCGAGGAAGAAGCAAAGGGUAUGGGAGAGUGGAAUUUGCUCGUAAAGGAAAUGCUGUGAAUGCAUUACAAAAAACAAAUGAAGGGUUUUUUAUGAUUGGAAGAUCACCAAGACCAGUGUUUACUAAACAACAAGAGCAAACAGAUGAAGAGGAAGGCCUUCUUGAAAAAUCAAUUGAACGCCAACCAAUGUAUUACAGUGAGCGUGAUGCAGGGGCUCGGUUUGCACCAUCCGGUACUUUUGAACAUGAAUGGUGUCAGAAGUGGAAACAACUAGAAGAGAUGAAGAGAACUCAGUUAGAAUCAUUGGAGAAACAGUUUAAAGAAGCUGAAGAUAAACUAGAAAAUGAUAUGGUUCAGGCUGUUUCUGAUUAUGAAGCAGAAAUUAACCGUAGAGAAAUGUUGGCAAAACAAGCUGAAAUACAACGACAAGAAGAAAUGAUGCGACAAGAAAUGAUGAGACAACAGGCAAUGGAGCUCAGACGGCACGAAGAAGCAAGAAUACAGGAAGAGUUGCAAAGACAAGUGGAAAUUCGUAUGCAGGAAGAUUUAUUGCGUCGUCAACACGAGGAACUUCUAAGAAGAAGACAUCAUGAGGAAGCUGCAUUAAUUCAUGGCGCUCGAAUGCCCCCAGUUGGGGCGUUUGGUCUCGGACCACCGGGCCAUCCACCUGGUUUUAUGCCCCCUGGCAUGAAUCCUGUUCACAACCCAAGAAUGCCCUUGCCUCCAAUGGGAAGAGGAAUGCCCUCGCCUGGUGACGCGACGAAGACAAAAGCUAUAUGUGCACGCUAAAAAAGAUGGUUAUAGAAUCGGCAUGCUGCAGUUAAAGGGAGGAAUUACAGACGAAUAAUUAUCUGGUUUGCAAAUGGAUAAAGAUUAUUGAAAUAUAAGUGAUAAGGUGCUUAAACUGGUGUGGCGAAAUCGAUGAGUAAAACGUCUGAAAAAACCAUUCAACAUCAGAUGCAAGAAACCAGAAUUGCGCAAUGUUCGAUCCAUGAUCAUAUUUUGAAAUUGUUUUCGUUCACGUGCGCCAGAAAUGGCUGAACCCACUGUUAAUGAUUUUACGGACGUGAAGAGAAAUGCCAGCUGGUCUGGUGUCUGAGCAUAACUGCAUGCAUAGAAAAAUCACCAAGUUGGGAUGACGCUUACGUUCUGGCGAAGUGUGCAGGUCACAUACCACAGCAAUAAAAUAGGCUCGAUAUUGUUCGAGGUAUACAAUUCAGUCCAACAAGAGCUUUUGUUUAGAAACGCCGGUGAAGAAAAGAAGAACUUUAUACUUCAUAACAAAAUAAUGUUGUAGCCUCAGGAACCAGGCCGCAAUCCAGGAGGAUCUUCAUCGAAUACAUACUUACGAUAAACCUGUAAUCCUUCAAAAACAGUAAACAUUUUGAGAUUGUUUAAUUUACUUUUAAUCCGACUGUGCCAAUACAUCGUUCAGGCCAAAACCAACUUCUAAUAAUUAUACGUAAGAUUGAAGAUGAGGCACAGUCCGUUCUGCGCAUCGGUUCUGCUCAUAAGGAUAGGACGGGGCAAUUGAUUAAGUUCCCCACAUUUUUUAGAAAGUAACUCGAUUUCAUAUACAUUUUCGAUGUAUACCGGACCAGAAAUCGUGUUAGACAUUCUGACGGUCAUCAUAUUUUAAAAAUAUUCAAAAGAAUUUGUACAUUACGGACUUCAAUAAAUAUGAUGCAACCU